CAAGUGAAGAAGCGCAUACGGUGGAUGCCUUGGCAGUCAGAGGCGAUGAAAGACGUGGUAGCCUGCGAAAAGCUUCGGGGAGUCGGCAAACAGACUUUGAUCCGGAGAUCUCUGAAUGGGGGAACCCACCUAGGAUAACCUAGGUAUCUUGUACUGAAUCCAUAGGUGCAAGAGGCGAACCAGGGGAACUGAAACAUCUAAGUACCCUGAGGAAAAGAAAUCAACCGAGAUUCCCUUAGUAGUGGCGAGCGAACGGGGAUUAGCCCUUAAGCUUCAUUGAUUUUAGCGGAACGCUCUGGAAAGUGCGGCCAUAGUGGGUGAUAGCCCCGUACGCGAAAGGAUCUUUGAAGUGAAAUCGAGUAGGACGGAGCACGAGAAACUUUGUCUGAACAUGGGGGGACCAUCCUCCAAGGCUAAAUACUACUGACUGACCGAUAGUGAACCAGUACCGUGAGGGAAAGGCGAAAAGAACCCCGGAGAGGGGAGUGAAAUAGAACCUGAAACCGUAUGCGUACAAGCAGUGGGAGCCUACUUGUUAGGUGACUGCGUACCUUUUGUAUAAUGGGUCAGCGACUUAUAUUCAGUGGCAAGCUUAACCGUAUAGGGUAGGCGUAGCGAAAGCGAGUCUUAAUAGGGCGUUUAGUCGCUGGGUAUAGACCCGAAACCGGGCGAUCUAUCCAUGAGCAGGUUGAAGGUUAGGUAACACUGACUGGAGGACCGAACCCACUCCCGUUGAAAAGGUAGGGGAUGACUUGUGGAUCGGAGUGAAAGGCUAAUCAAGCUCGGAGAUAGCUGGUUCUCCUCGAAAGCUAUUUAGGUAGCGCCUCAUGUAUCACUCUGGGGGGUAGAGCACUGUUUCGGCUAGGGGGUCAUCCCGACUUACCAAACCGAUGCAAACUCCGAAUACCCAGAAGUGCCGAGCAUGGGAGACACACGGCGGGUGCUAACGUCCGUCGUGAAAAGGGAAACAACCCAGACCGCCAGCUAAGGUCCCAAAGUUGUGGUUAAGUGGUAAACGAUGUGGGAAGGCUUAGACAGCUAGGAGGUUGGCUUAGAAGCAGCCAUCCUUUAAAGAAAGCGUAAUAGCUCACUAGUCGAGUCGGCCUGCGCGGAAGAUGUAACGGGGCUCAAACCACACACCGAAGCUGCGGGUGUCACGUAAGUGACGCGGUAGAGGAGCGUUCUGUAAGCCUGUGAAGGUGAGUUGAGAAGCUUGCUGGAGGUAUCAGAAGUGCGAAUGCUGACAUGAGUAACGACAAUGGGUGUGAAAAACACCCACGCCGAAAGACCAAGGGUUCCUGCGCAACGUUAAUCGACGCAGGGUUAGUCGGUUCCUAAGGCGAGGCUGAAAAGCGUAGUCGAUGGGAAACAGGUUAAUAUUCCUGUACUUCUGGUUACUGCGAUGGAGGGACGGAGAAGGCUAGGCCAGCUUGGCGUUGGUUGUCCAAGUUUAAGGUGGUAGGCUGAAAUCUUAGGUAAAUCCGGGGUUUCAAGGCCGAGAGCUGAUGACGAGUCGUCUUUUAGAUGACGAAGUGGUUGAUGCCAUGCUUCCAAGAAAAGCUUCUAAGCUUCAGGUAACCAGGAACCGUACCCCAAACCGACACAGGUGGUCGGGUAGAGAAUACCAAGGCGCUUGAGAGAACUCGGGUGAAGGAACUAGGCAAAAUGGCACCGUAACUUCGGGAGAAGGUGCGCCGGCUAGGGUGAAGGAUUUACUCCGUAAGCUUUGGCUGGUCGAAGAUACCAGGCCGCUGCGACUGUUUAUUAAAAACACAGCACUCUGCAAACACGAAAGUGGACGUAUAGGGUGUGACGCCUGCCCGGUGCCGGAAGGUUAAUUGAUGGGGUUAGCGCAAGCGAAGCUCUUGAUCGAAGCCCCGGUAAACGGCGGCCGUAACUAUAACGGUCCUAAGGUAGCGAAAUUCCUUGUCGGGUAAGUUCCGACCUGCACGAAUGGCGUAACGAUGGCGGCGCUGUCUCCACCCGAGACUCAGUGAAAUUGAAAUCGCUGUGAAGAUGCAGUGUAUCCGCGGCUAGACGGAAAGACCCCGUGAACCUUUACUGUAGCUUUGCACUGGACUUUGAGCCUGCUUGUGUAGGAUAGGUGGGAGGCUUUGAAGCGUGGACGCCAGUUCGCGUGGAGCCAUCCUUGAAAUACCACCCUGGCAUGCUUGAGGUUCUAACUCUGGUCCGUGAUCCGGAUCGAGGACAGUGUAUGGUGGGCAGUUUGACUGGGGCGGUCUCCUCCUAAAGAGUAACGGAGGAGUACGAAGGUGCGCUCAGACCGGUCGGAAAUCGGUCGCAGAGUAUAAAGGCAAAAGCGCGCUUGACUGCGAGACAGACACGUCGAGCAGGUACGAAAGUAGGUCUUAGUGAUCCGGUGGUUCUGUAUGGAAGGGCCAUCGCUCAACGGAUAAAAGGUACUCCGGGGAUAACAGGCUGAUACCGCCCAAGAGUUCAUAUCGACGGCGGUGUUUGGCACCUCGAUGUCGGCUCAUCACAUCCUGGGGCUGAAGCCGGUCCCAAGGGUAUGGCUGUUCGCCAUUUAAAGUGGUACGCGAGCUGGGUUUAGAACGUCGUGAGACAGUUCGGUCCCUAUCUGCCGUGGACGUUUGAGAUUUGAGAGGGGCUGCUCCUAGUACGAGAGGACCGGAGUGGACGAACCUCUGGUGUUCCGGUUGUCACGCCAGUGGCAUUGCCGGGUAGCUAUGUUCGGAAAAGAUAACCGCUGAAAGCAUCUAAGCGGGAAACUUGCCUCAAGAUGAGAUCUCACUGGGAACUUGAUUCCCCUGAAGGGCCGUCGAAGACUACGACGUUGAUAGGCUGGGUGUGUAAGCGUUGUGAGGCGUUGAGCUAACCAGUACUAAUUGCCCGUGAGGCUUGACCA
rnacentral:rRNA from 1 species